GCCUUCGUAGUGUAGUGGUAAGCACGCUAGGAGUGUAUUCCAGAGGUCAUUGGUUCGAGUCCCGGCGAAGGCG
rnacentral:tRNA from 1 species